rnacentral:lncRNA from 1 species
CAAUGAACUUUACACAAGUCAUUGGAUACUUAUAAGUUAAUUAUAAUUAGAUCAGAUCAUCAAAUCAAUCAUAUUUAAGCGGGUUUAUAUAUAUGAUGAUUAUAUGAUUGGUCCAUUGUAAAAUUUUAAAAUGUGCCUGUAAUUGCCAUUCGACAGAUCUAUUGAUUCUCGAGGACUCAAAAACAAAAAAAAAGUGGUCAUAAAUUUGAGUGCCGCCAAAAAAGAUACGGUUGUCUCCACGUUAGGUACGGUGUGGUACUUGAAGCGACAUCAGCCUCGUGGUUCAAUAUGAACUCUACACGUGGCGAGGUUACCGAUGUCUUGUGUACGGUCCC